rnacentral:rRNA from 1 species
UACGGAGGAUCCAAGCGUUAUCCGGAUUCAUUGGGUUUAAAGGGUGCGUAGGCGGACUGAUAAGUCAGCGGUGAAAUCUCUCGGCUCAACCGAGAAACUGCCGUUGAUACUGUUAGUCCUGAAUGCAGAUGAUGUGGGCGGAAUAUGACAUGUAGUGGUGAAAUACUUAGAUAUGUCAUAGAACACCGAUUGCGAAGGCAGCUCACAAAACUGUGAUUGACGCUGAUGCACGAAAGCGUGGGGAUCAAACAGG